rnacentral:rRNA from 1 species
CAGCAGCCGCGGUAAUACGUAGGGUGCGAGCGUUGAUCGGAAUUACUGGGCGUAAAGCGUGCGCAGGCGGUUGUGUAAGACAGGUGUGAAAUCCCCGGGCUUAACCUGGGAACUGCGCUUGUGACUGCACAGCUAGAGUAUGGCAGAGGGGGGUGGAAUUCCACGUGUAGCAGUGAAAUGCGUAGAGAUGUGGAGGAACACCGAUGGCGAAGGCAGCCCCCUGGGCCAAUACUGACGCUCAUGCACGAAAGCGUGGGGAGCAAACAGGAUUAGAGACCCCUGUAGUCCCUGUCUCUUAUAA